rnacentral:rRNA from 1 species
ACUUAGAGUUUGAUCAUGGCUCAGGAUGAACGCUAGCGGCAGGCUUAAUACAUGCAAGUCGAGGGGCAGCGGGGGUAGCAAUACCUGCCGGCGACCGGCAAACGGGUGCGGAACACGUACGCAACUUACCCUUAACUGGGGGAUAGCCCGGGGAAACCCGGAUUAAUACCUCGUAAGAUAGUGUGAUGGCAUCAUCAUAUUAUUAUAGCCUUUACGGGUGGUUUGGGAUGGGCGUGCGGCUGAUUAGGUAGUUGGUUGGGGUAACGGCCCACCAAGCCAGCGAUCAGUAACUGGUGUGAGAGCACGACCAGUCACACGGGCACUGAGACACGGGCCCGACUCCUACGGGAGGCAGCAGUAAGGAAUAUUGGUCAAUGGACGCAAGUCUGAACCAGCCAUGCCGCGUGGAGGAUGAAGGCCCUCUGGGUUGUAAACUUCUUUUACAGGGGACGAAAUCACUUUAUUCUUAGAGUGUUGACGGUACCCUGGGAAUAAGCACCGGCUAACUCCGUGCCAGCAGCCGCGGUACGC